rnacentral:rRNA from 1 species
GACGGAGGGUGCAAGCGUUGUUCGGAAUUACUGGGCGUAAAGCGCGUGUAGGCGGUUGAAUAAGCCGAGUGUGAAAGCCCGUGGCUUAACCACGGAAGUGCAUUCGGAACUGUUCGGCUUGAGUACGGGAGAGGGAAGUGGAAUUCCUGGUGUAGAGGUGAAAUUCGUAGAUAUCAGGAGGAACACCGGUGGCGAAGGCGGCUUCCUGGACCGAUACUGACGCUGAGACGCGAAAGCGUGGGGAGCAAACAGG